rnacentral:rRNA from 1 species
GAUCUGAAAUCAGGUAGGACUACCCGCUGAACUUAAGCAUAUCAAUAAGCGGAGGAAAAGAAACUAACAAGGAUUCCCUUAGUAACGGCGAGUGAAGCGGGAAAAGCUCAAAUUUUAAAUCUGACAGUCAACGCUGUCCGAGUUGUAGUUUCAAGAAGCGUUUUCGGAACGCGCCUGGGUAUAAGUCCUUUGGAACAGGGCAUCAUAGAGGGUGAGAAUCCCGUUUAUGACCCGGAGCGGCGCUCCAUGUGAUACGUUUUCCAAGAGUCAGGUUGUUUGGGAAUGCAGCCUAAAAUGGGUGGUAAAUUUCAUCUAAAGCUAAAUAUUGGCGAGAGACCGAUAGCGAACAAGUACCGUGAGGGAAAGAUGAAAAGAACUUUGAAAAGAGAGUUAAACAGUACGUGAAAUUGUUGAAAGGGAAACGUUUGAAAUCAG